rnacentral:rRNA from 1 species
UGUAUGGUUAAGUGACUAAGCGUACACGGUGGAUGCCUGGGCAGUCAGAGGCGAUGAAGGACGUACUAACUUGCGAUAAGCGCAGAUAAGGCAGUAAGAGCCGUUUGAGUCUGCGAUUUCCGAAUGGGGAAACCCAACUGCAUAAGCAGUUACUGUUAACUGAAUACAUAGGUUAACAGAGCAAACCGGGGGAACUGAAACAUCUAAGUACCCCGAGGAGAAGAAAUCAACCGAGAUUCCGGUAGUAGCGGCGAGCGAACCUGGAUUAGCCCUUAAGCACUCGGUGAAGUAGGUGAACAAGCUGGAAAGCUUGGCGAUACAGGGUGAUAGCCCCGUAACCGACGCUUCAUCGAGCGUGAAAUCGAGUAGGGCGGGACACGUGAUAUCCUGUCUGAAUAU